rnacentral:rRNA from 1 species
GACGAACGCUGGCGGCGUGCUUAACACAUGCAAGUCGAACGGUAAGGCCCUUCGGGGUACACGAGUGGCGAACGGGUGAGUAACACGUGGGUGUUCUGCCCUGCACUUCGGGAUAAGCCUGGGAAACUGGGUCUAAUACCGGAUAGGACCACUGCCUGCAUGGGUGGUGGUGGAAAGCUUUUGCGGUGUGGGAUGGGCCCGCGGCCUAUCAGCUUGUUGGUGGGGUGAUGGCCUACCAAGGCGACGACGGGUAGCCGGCCUGAGAGGGUGACCGGCGACACUGGGACUGAGAUACGGCCCAGACUCCUAGGGGAGGCAGCAGUGGGGAAUAUUGCACAAUGGGCGCAAGCCUGAUGCAGCGACGCCGCGUGAGGGAUGACGGCCUUCGGGUUGUAAACCUCUUUCAGCACCGACGAAGCGCAAGUGACGGUAGGUGCAGAAGAAGGACCGGCCAACUACGUGCCAGCCGCCGCCGUAA